UACAGAGGUCUCAAGCGUUGUUCGGAUUCAUUGGGCGUAAAGGGUGCGUAGGCGGCGCGGUAAGUCGGGGUGUGAAAUCUUGGAGCUUAACUCCGAAACUGCAUUGCGAUACUGCCGUGCUUGAGGACUGGAGAGGAGACUGGAAUUUACGGUGUAGCGGUGAAAUGCGUAGAUAUCGUAAGGAAGACCAGUGGCGAAGGCGGGUCU
rnacentral:rRNA from 1 species